UGAAGAGAAAAUCCAGCUGUGCGUUUCCGUCAGUGAAUUCCAAGGUCACCGGCAAGAUUUCCACCUACCAGGAGGAAAACAUGGUGACUCCGCCUCCAUGUCUCCUUUCUUCCUCCUUGCCAGUUGAUUUUGCUAUCAGUUUGCAAGAACAAACAGCACAUGGCUAGUGACCUUUGGAAGCCGCAUGCACAGCCAAAGAGUACCAGCAGAACCAUGGCAGUACCACCGCUGGCUGUGAGUCUUCUUGCUAGACCCGUCACGCCUUGGGGAUGCAGAGGGGCAUCUGGGCUGCCCUGAGGCUGUGGCUGAGUUGACUGUAGAAUUAGUACUUUUGAGAGGUUUCCAUGGGAAAAAUGAAAGGACAGCAGUGAACUGAGUCUCCUGGAUGCUUGCUGGGCUGAUCUCAUGGGAGUCAACCCCACAGGCGGUGCCCGAGAUGAAAUCCCAUCUGCCUGCUGUGACUACUCUGGGACAAUUGACACAAACAACUACUAACAUCUCCUGGCUUUGAAAUUUUCUGACUCCUUUGAUGACCUUUACUUUGUGACCUGCAUCGUGGUACAACUAUACUAAAUUAGACUGUGGAUUCAGACAUAAUUGGAGAGGCUAUGGCAAAAUCAAGAGGACAUUUCAAAAACCAUACGUGAAAGAAUUGUCAAAAUCAACCACUUGAUGGCUCUGGAAAUCAACUAUGGGACAGAUGAUAAGUCGGGAAGAAUUUGUCCCCAAAACCUACCAGAGCUUGGGGUAAGAACAGUAGACAUAUAAUCUUUUUUUUUAUUUUAAAAAGAUUAAGAUAAAAGAGGACAUAACAAAACAGAUCAGAACAGAACAAUUUAAGCAAAAUAGUGUUUCACCACAAGACAACCCAACAUAACAGUAGCUACCAUAGUGUCUCUUUCCUUGAAAUAUUUGAGUAUACUUUCAUAUACUGUAGUAUCAAACAUAACAAUAUAGUAUAAAACCAUUCAAGAGAAUGAAAGUAUUACAGGGUAUUCAAAACCAACUAACAGAAAAUGAACAAUGACUAUAUUAUCUCCUUGUCCAUAAAAAAUUUUGUUUAUAUUAUAACAUAUAAUAAAAUCCAAUAAGAUACAACAUGAUAAAACCGAUGGAGACAGAAGAACAAAAGCUUGGUAGGACUUCAAAACAAGAUGAUAUUAAAUCAGCACUAGCUAUUACAGUGUCUUGUUUUCUUCAAAAUAGCUGUUCAUACCAUCACAGACAAUAAAAUCAAACAACCCAGAAUAAAACCAUUCCAACUAAUGAAUGAAAACAUUAUAAGGCUUCAAAGCAAUAUAAUGAGGAAUCAUGAUUACCACAUACUUUUAUGUAUUCUUACCAUUUCUUACACUAGGGAGACUAUUCAGCAUUUAUACAUGUGAGUUUGAUUUAUUUCGCUUAUGAGUAUGGUCUGAAGCUGCGCCCACUUAUGACAUCUAAUCUUCUUGAUGGAGUCUGCUUUCAUCCCUUGCUACAGCUUUGUUAGUCAAAGACAGUAGUUUUUUUCAGUGCUGGGCAUGCUGCAAAACCAGCGGAAGUCAGCUCAAGUAAUCACGGUGGAUAGAAGGAUGGGGUGAUGUGACAGUUGAACUAUUUUAUCAAUUUGAAUAAAUUACACUAACUAAAUCACCUCAGCAUAGUUCUGGGUGUGGAAAAGCCACCCUAGGGAGGAUUACCACCACAGUGCUAUACAAAGGGGAAAACAUAAGAGGAAAGAUCCCUUCAUCUUCCUCCCCAGGUGCUCUAGUCUUUGCUUUCACCUUGGACUUCAUUCCUGGCUUUCAGCAGACUGUUUAGCCUCCAACAGAGAAUGCUCACCUUCAGCUUUCUGGUACAGUCCCUUCAGCAUCCUUAUUUGAAGCUCACAUGGGACCACCAGGCCCGUGACUGAAUCCUUCAGAUCCCAAGUGGGCAGACAGACCUUUUGCACUGUCCCACACCCAGCUCUGUGGGCAGCCAUUGUAAGCCAACUUGUAAAUUAUAAUGUAUAUUUGAAUAUCUUCUAUCGUAUCUGUGUGUCUCAUAAACACUGACUAAUGCAUGUGAGGUUAAAAAAAAAAAAACAUGCUUUUCCAGGUAAAAGUGGCAAAUUCGGUAAAAAAGAUAUAUGUGGAAACACUUUUCAAUUUGUUAGUCCAAGAAUGCAACCUAGUUGUGGUGACACGUUAGCCAAAAACUUAAUGGGGAGAUUCUGGAAAUAAGAGAGCCAUGUAACUGCAUAAACUUUGCAUACUAAUCUCGGUGACUGGAAAAUAAACAUGUAUGAGGAAGACCCCAAAAAAUAAAAAAAGACUUGAGAUCUCGUAUGUCCAAGUAAUUUCUGUACUCACACACUGAUCAAUUAGCAGGCACAAUUUCUACCAAAUCAUUGACUGUUCAGUUAGCUAAACAGACACAGAGGUAACUUCCAGUAAGCUGGAUUCGAAACUUGGGCAGAUACAUCAGUGAUCAAACAUUGGGAAAUUUCUCAACAAACUCAUCAACACUUGGUUUUGUUCAUCUUUUUACUAAAGCCACUUAUGUGGGUUAUUGUUAUAUUAUGGUUUAAUUUGCAUUUUAUUAUUGGCUAAUGAUGUUGGAAAAUUUUCAUGCUUUUAUUAGCCAUUCAUACAUUUUCUUUGGUGAAAUACCUAUUCAAAUAACUCACCCAUUUAAAAAUACAUACAUUUUCCUAGAGAUAAAAUGGGUACAAUCAGUUUCAGGUAUUUUUUUUUCCAGUUUCUUUAAAAGUGAAGCAUAGAAGUGACAUACAACCCAGCCAUUUCACUUUAUGUAUUAAUACAAAAAUAUCAAUCCAAAAUUUUUACAGAAAUGUUCAUAGCAAAAUUAUUUAUACAACUGAAAAUUGAAAACAAUUCAAAUAGCCAAAAACUAGAGCAUAUGUUAAGUAGAAGAUGGGCUAACCAAGAAUGGAAUGCCAUUCAAAAUUGAAGGGAACAAAAUAUUACCCACACCGUGGAUGAACCUCCAAAACACGGGGCUAAAGGAAAGAAAUCAUAUGCCAAAGAACACUAUUGUAUAUCUUUAUGUGACAUUUCUAAAAAAAGGCAGCACUAGAAACUCAAAACAAAUCAAUAGCUGGCUGGGCCAGAAAAUAGGAGCAUAUGGUGAUCAAAUUUAGGCAAGAUUGGGGUGAUCCAAUACUCUAAAACUGGGUUAUAAUGAUGGUUGCUUGAUCACUUAAAUUAACUAAAAUGCAACAGUCUAUUCAAGUUGAGGCCAUGUAAGGUUUACUUCAUUCAGCAGUGUUUAGAUUUUUUAAGAAAAAUUUUACCAAAGUAGGCACAAUCUCUACCCAAAUUAUUUAAAGUCAUUUAAAAAGCAAAAAAUCAAAUUACAGAUUACAAGAUAUUUGGGGGGAGUUAUACAAUCAUAUAAGGAUUAGAAUCCAGAUAAUCUAUGUUUUGGAUACAUACACACACCCUUACAAACCAACUAGAACUAGAAAACACAGGUUUAUAAAAAUUAUGAAUAAGGAAUUCACCAAGAAAGAAGAGACAAUAAUAAACAUUUAAAAACAAUCUCAUUGUAAUGCAAAAAUGCAAAUUAAAAGCACAAUGAAGUAUCAUGUGAUAUCAGGAAACAUUUUUAAAAAUUCUGAUCACAUCAAGUGUUAGCAAGAAUACAGAGCAAGACAAAUUCUUAAUUCUGAGCAGAAUAUAAAUAGAUUCAUCAUGAAAAAUUUGACUUACAGUGUUGAAGUUACACAUUUUCCAUGACUCAGCCAUUCCAUCAUUCCAUUUCUACACAUACACACACACACACACACACACACACACACACACACACCAGAGAAGUAUUACACAUAUUCUAUAAGAGAAAGCAUACAAAAGCAUUCAUAACAAUAGCUGAUUUUGUGAUCAGAGACUUGAAUUAAGUGUUGUCUAAACCAUUUAUUCCUUAUGUGGUCUCAAACUUUAGCUCUUUUUCAUUCAUUAAAAUGGGAUAACUGUGCCUGUUUUGCAGAGAUACUGUACAAAUUAAAAGAGAAGAAUGUUGGUGAAGAGUGUCACUCAAUGUCUGACACUUAAGAAAUUUUUAAGAAUGGUAUUUUCCACGUGUCUAUGAAUUAGGGAAAUAUUCAUAUUCUUCACUGAUUGGAAGAAAUUGCUUGACUGUAAGUAAAGGCACGUGUGAGGCGAACAAGUGAGCUCCUCCAUUUUCUCUUAUUCUGUGCUUUCCUAGAAGUCCAUAAACCCUCUGCUCCUAAGAAUUUGAAUCCAGAAGGAGAAGGUAUUGUCGUAGUCAGGGGUUGUAGACAGAGAACAACUAGGAUUAGGAUAUGGAGUUCAUAAUAUUUUUAUAAUGGUCACCAGAAGUUAACACAAGAAAACGCAGGAAAUCUAUCCUCAACACCAAAGACAUAGAUUAUUUAGUCAAGAGCCUAAACCCCACGGCAAUUGUCCCACAUGAGUCCAGAUAAAAUCCAGAGCUCAGAACAAUGCCUUCCACGAGUCCAACUGGAGGUCCAGAGCCCACAGUAAGGACUCACACCAGUCUCUUUUACAGAUCCAUGCCGGGAAGACCCAAGGGUCAGCAGUGGAAGCCAGAAAGUCUAUGCCAGCAGGAUGAAGGAGCUGUGCUAGUGGGAUGAGGGUUCUCCGCUGGAGCCGAGAAGUCACACUCACAACAAAGAGCAGGGCUAUCCUGAAAGGCACCACAGCCAUCCUCAGUGACACGGAGGCCCCGAGCUCCUCCAACGACAAGCACAGUCGGAUAUGUGCCAGGAAAUAGCGUGAUGAGUUCAUCCUGGAGACCAAGCAGCACAUGUCUUCCUCUCCAAAGCCAGGAAGCAAUGCUUGAUGUGAGGACCAAAGCCUUUCCAGGAGAACCAAAAGCUCAGACAGCAACUCGUAGGAGAACCCACAAUGCUUCCUUACCGCCUCAAUCCUUCUCAACACCUCCCUUCUUCUCCACUUAUUUAUCCUGGCAACCCUCCUCAGGUGGAGCAUCUUCUCUCAAUGCAUGCUGAUGUAAUCCAGCUGGCGUUAAGUUGACCACCAGUUCUCAGACCAUAACAAGUAUGUCAUGGAAAGAGCAGGGCCAGGAUGCUGACACAGUCACACGUGUAGGAAGCCAUUGAUCACUAUCUUUCUCCACCUAGAUCUCAAUAGGAAUUAUAUAAAGUUGGUCUUGGCCCAAACAGCACCUGUGUCAUAUUUGAAUGCAAAAUCACUAGUUUUUUUUUUAAAGAAAAAAAAAUACAGAAAAGAAAAACAAAAAUCAAGAGGCAUACAAACAACAGCUACAAGAAACUCAAAACAAUAAUUAUAUAGGCUUUCAAAACAAGGUGAUAGGAACUUAACAACGGUUAUAAUAUAGUUAUCUUCAAGAGUCACUUAGAUUACCCCAUAUAAACUUGCAAAAUUGGUCUAAUCAUAUGAGUAUUAACUGUUAUUUUCCAAGAACUAAUAGAAUUGGUAGUAUAAUCAUUUUAGAUAUUUUAUGUAUAUAUAAGCAAAUUUAUAUCUUUUUCCUUUUUCUUCCCUUUUUUUCUCCUUUCCCCUACCCCAGUUUAUUUUACUCCUUUGAGCAUUUUCUUAUCCUUUCACAGUAUUUAUUGUAGAUUUUGGGUUUUAUUUACUCUUUCCAUCUCUUACACUACAGAGAAAGUGUAGUAUUUAUAGUAUUUACACAUGUGAGUCUGGUUUAUUUCACUUGUGUAUAUGGUCUCAAGUCUUACUCAUUUACCUAUAAAUCUCUCAAUGUAAUCCUUUUUUUUAAUUAAGUAGUACUCUAUUGUAUAAAAACACCACAUCAUUUCCAUCCAUUGCUUGAUAGGAACUUGGGUUGUUUCCACAAUUUGGCUAUUACAAAUUGUGCUGCUGUAAACAUGGGUGCACAUAUAUCACUAUGAUAUGAUGUUUUCAGUUCUUCUGGGAAUAUGCCCAGAAGUGGAAUAGCUAGGUCAAAUGGAAUCUCUAAUCCUAGCUUUUUGAGGAGUCUCCACACUGAAUUCCACAGUGGUUUCACCAGUCUAUACUCCCACCAACAGUGGAGAAAGGUUCCUUUUCCCUCAGAGCCUUUCCAGCAUUUGUUACUGGUUGAUUUCUUGAUCCUGGCCAUUCUUUCUGGGAUGAGAUGGAAUUUCAGUGUUAUUUUAAUUUGCGUUUCUCUAAUGAUCAGUGAUGCUGAACAUGUUUUCAUAUACUUAUUUGCCAUUUAAAUUUCUUUGUCUGAGAAGUGUAUAUCAGUUACUCAUUUUUGAAUUGGACCGUUGAAUUUUGGGGGCCUGAUUUUUAAAAAAUUCUUUAUAUGUUCUAGAUAGAAAUCCUUUGUCUGAGAGACAGUUACCUAAGAUAUUUUCCCAAUUCAUGGGUUUUCUUUUCACUCUGUUGGAGAUUUCCUUUGACAUGAAAAAACGUUUUAAUAAGAUGAGAUCCCAGUUGUUGAUUCUAGGAAGUAUUUUCCAUGCAGUUUGAUUUUUGUCCAUGAACUCUCAACCUACUCCUUUGUCAUCAAGAUUUCUACCUAAUUUGGUUUCCAGCAGAUUUAAUGUUUUUGUUUUAAUAUGAUCUUUGUUUAAUAUGAUGUUUAAUAAGAUCUUUGAUUCAUUUUGACUUUAAUAUGUGCAUUGUGAUAGAUAUCAAUCUAGUUUUAAUUUUUUGUAUAUGGAAAGCCAGUUACUCUAGCACCACUUAUUAAAGAGGCUAUCUUUCAACCAAAGAAACAGGUUUGUCCCUUGUUGAAGAUGAGGUAGCUGACUGUGUUUGUAGUUAUGGUUGUAUCUUCUAAUCUAUUCCAUUGAUCUUCAGGUCUGUAUUUUUGCCAGUACCAUGCUGAUUUUAUCAUAGUAGGUUUGUAGUAUAAUUUCAAGUCAGGGAUUGUGAUGCUUCCUGCCUUGCCUUUGUUACCUAGAGUUGCCUUUGCUACUCUAGAUCUCAUCUGGUUCCGUAUGACUUUUAGGAAUGAUUGCCUCUACAUCUGUGAGGUAUAUAAAUGGUAUUUUGAUUGGAACUGCAUUAAUCUGUAUAACAAUCUUAGGAGAUGGCCAUUUUCACAAUGUUUGUUCUUCCUAUACAUGAACAAAGAAUGUCUUUCCAUUUUGUGAAAUCUUUUUGCAAAAUCAGUAGUUUUGAAGAGUAAAUGUACUUUUAUAUGUUCAAUGAGACACACUGACUCAAAAUUAAAGAUCAUUUUAGUUUAUCUUGCUAGAAAAGAAGAUAAACUAAGAAAUAUUUUUUGACUUCACAAUUACAUGAGUGAAGUCAAAAAAUGUUUUUGCUCUUUUACAUUAAUUUUACAAGGAAGCUUAUGAUAAAUGGGUUUAAAAUAUGAUUGAAUUUAAGAGUAUGAUAGAAUAUCCUCUUGUUACAAAUGUAUGUAAGGUUACAUCAGGCAAGUCUGAGUGAGUCUUAAAAGAAUUGUCUGAAAAGACAUUCCAGAUUCCAUUCAAAUUCAAGAAUCACGAGGAGCCAGCAGAAUUUUGAAGAGAGUGGAAUGCCCACUACUGGAAGGAGAGAACCUCAGGCUGUAAUCCUGGCUUGGUCACCAAGUGUGACCCAAGAAAGCCAAUUCACAGCUCUGUAUGUCACUGUGAACUUAAUGACCUGCUUCCUCCAAACCUGCAAUUCUAGGGCUUGUUCCCUCGUUAAGACUCCUUAUGGGAUCCAAAAGCAAAAUAGUUAAUGCAGAGCAAAGCGGAGGAAACACCUGGGAGGGAAAGGUGGAAACUCCUGUCAAUUUCUUGUUGUCUUAUCUUGAACUCUUGCAUUAUUUAACACAAUUGUGUUAGGUUUGGCUUUGUUCUGUCUUGUUUUGUUAGAUUCUAUGCUUUCAGAUGGUAGGAGCAGCUAUUUUGAAUACAAUGGGAUAUAUUAUGAUAAUCAUGGUUUCCUAUUAUAUUGCUUUGAAGUUUUGUAAUGCUUUCAUUCAUUUGUUUGAUUGAUUUUAUUCUGUUUUGUUUGAUUUUAUUAUGUGUAAUGGUAUGAACCCCUAUUUUGAAGAAAACAACACAUUAUGGUAGCCAUUGUUGAUUUACUAUCAUCUUGAAGUCCUACCAUGCUUUUGUUCUUCUGUUUUGAUUGGUUCUAUCCUGUUGUGGUUUAUUUGACUUGAUUAUAUGUAAUAGAAUAGAAAUUUUUUGAGGAAAAUAAGGUAUUAUAGUAGCCAUUGUUCAUUUCCUGUUAUUUGGUUUUGAAGUCCUGUAUUCUUUCAUUCUUUUGAAUGGUUUUACACUAUAUUGUUAUGCUAGGUAUUAAUGUGUGUGAAGGUAAUGUCAACUAUUUCGAAGAAAAGAGACAUUAUGGUAGCUACUGUUGUCCAGAUGUCUGCUUGCGAAGUGCUGUGUUGCUUGCACUGUUCUGUUCUGAUUUGCUUUGUUCUGUUCCCUUUUGUUUUAUUCUCUUUAAAAUAAAAAAAAAAACUUAAAAAGAA